rnacentral:rRNA from 1 species
UACGAAGGGGGGCUAGCGUUGCUCGGAAUUACUGGGCGUAAAGCGCACGUAGGCGGUCUUUUAAGUCGGGUGUGAAAUUUCGGAGCUUAACUCCGAAACUGCAUUCGAUACUGCGGUGCUUGAGGACUGGAGAGGAGACUGGAAUUCAUGGUGUAGCAGUGAAAUGCGUAGAGAUCAUGAGGAAGACCAGUGGCGAAGGCGGGUCUCUGGACAGUUCCUGACACUGAGGCACGAAGGCCAGGGGAGCAAACGGG